UACGAGUGCCCCAAGCGUUAUCCGGCAUUAUUGGGCGUAAAGGGUGUGUAGGUGGUUAUGUUAGUCUCUCGUUAAAUUCUUCGGCUCAACCGGGGUAUCGCGGGGGAAACGGCAUGACUAGAGGAUGCGAGAGGUGUGCGGAACUCAUGGUGUAGGGGUGAAAUCCGUUGAUAUCAUGGGGAACACCAAAAGCGAAGGCAGCACACUGGUGCAUUCCUGACACUGAAACACGAAAGCGUGGGUAGCGAAUGGG
rnacentral:rRNA from 1 species